rnacentral:lncRNA from 1 species
GCAGCCAUAAAUAAAAGUCAUUUGUGUUCGUUUAUUUAAUGCUUUCCUUUUACAGUGAAGUGAAGGUCUUUGAUGACCUCCUUCCUACCUGCUAACCAAAUAUGGAAAUCUGUUCUGGACAGAGUCCAUGGCCGUGCCAGGAAGCAGGCGUUAGCCAGGGGCCUGCCUGGAGAUCAGCCCUCCUGAGACAAUUUCUGUGGGGGUGGAAGUGGGGGAGGGAGAAAGUCGCUCAGAACUGAUGGUCCUGGACCGGCCACGGUCCCCAGAGCCUCAGCCUCCCAGGCCCAGGCUUUGUUGAAGAUGUCCGGGCCCUGGACUGGCGCUGUCUGGGCCCCCACUGACCUGACCCAGCUGUUUCUCUCUCCCUGAUGGUCCUUGUUUUCUCGGUUUGUAGUUCCUGGGUAGGAUGGCCAGAUAAAAUACAGGAUGCCCAGUUGGGCUCGGAUUACAGAUAAACGAAUGUGUAUCAGGACUCAGCUAGGGGGUCCUUGAUGUUUAUUUGCCCCAUUGCUGGGCUGUUCUCAGGAGGAUGUUGAGACCCUGGCGUGGAGCGCCUCCUCGGCGUGUCCAGCAGAGGGCGGCCGUGCCUCCCGGAGGCAUCGCGGGGCCCAGAGCGCAGCCCAGCCCCGUCCCCUGGUCCUGUGGCUCGAGGUCGGGGAGGGAGGGGCGGUGGUCGCUGCGGGGCAAAUGUUUCCACUCACCCGGAGCCACGACCCACGGCCUGUGCAGGGAGAGUCGAAAGCGCGGCCCCCGGUGAGCACUUGGGAGGUGAACCGGUUCCCCGCCCUGGUGGGCUGUCACCAGUCACAUCAAGAGAUGCAGGACGGCGGUGGCCUCACCAGAGGCAUUACGAGUUCUCUGGAGCCCCUCCGCCACCACCGUCCUUGUUCUUCCUUGAGUCGGAACCAGGUCCUUGGGGUCUGUGGGUGCUCAGUGGCUUUGCAGACCUGCAAAGAUUUGAGGUCUUCCAGGUGCCUCUCCUUGCCUUCACCAGAUGCUGGUUUCGGGGGCAGGGAUAGGGCUGCCAGGCAUCAGGAAGGUUUGUGAACGGGGAUUUAAUCGAGUGUUUCGCGGGGUGGCCCCUGCCAUCUCUGCCCCUCGUUUUGUACGAGAAGCAGGCGGAAACCAGCUCUCCCUUUGAGAACGCACUGUUGCCCUCCGCUGUUGCUUGUGUGUCUUGCCUUGCUGUGACCCAGGGAGAGCUCCCUGCAGCUGUCAGCUCCCUGGUGACCUCAGGCUCUGGGCAUCCCAGUAAGCACGGCUUGCGCACCCACUGUGUGCCAGCUCCCACUUUCCUGGAGCUCGUGGGAGGAGACGGGGACAGUGAACGAACGCACAGACUGAGAUGGUGGGAGGGGCUGUGCGUUCCGGGUUGUCUGCACGAGGGGCUCUGGCAGGGGGGCCGCGUCCCGGCUUGUCUGCGCGAGGGGCUCUGGCGACCACGUCCAGCACUACUGCUGUGUGUUUUUCUUUGCUGUGACCCAGUGAAGACCUCCUCACAGACAGAGCACAGCAGACUCGCGGUGCUGAAACCCGGAGGGUUACCCUGUCCCUGACUGACUGUAAGGUUACACUAAAUUAAGAGGCACUCCAAGGAUUGCAAAGUCCGAGGGGAAUUUUGAAUUCGUGGGUCCUGGAUUGUGAAUUUGAAGGCAGCGGUUUCCAACCCUUUUAAAUCUUGACCCCAGGAAGAAGUACCUUCUACAUCUUGACCCAGCAAACACGUGAUACCUACCCACACUGUAUUUUGUUCAAUUAACCCUCAAAUGAUGUUUCCUAAUGUUUGGCCCUGGGUCAAGCAUUUCACAAACUAUUUAAUCUUCUCUACAAUCCCAGGUGGUAGCUACUGUCUUGCCGCCUUUAUGCAGACAGAGACUGAGGGAUACCUUAGAUGUCUUUCCAAACCAUCCACCCCCUCAGCCUUCCCUGCCCACUGCCUGCACGUCAAACCCACUGACGGGCACUCGUUCGACUCCAAGAGCCCCGUGCCAGGAACCUGGGAGACAACUCCCGUUUUGACUCUGGGCAAGGUACUUCACCUCUCAAGUCCCAGAGAAGCAGAGAAAGCAACGGCAGGUAUAGUGGCUGGCUGCACUUAGGUGGCACCUACUGUGUGCCAGGCCCCCUUCUGCCCACUUCACAGGUGUCUUAGUCUCCAUAGAGUCCAUUUGGAAACAGGCCCGGAGCCAUCCAGGUUGCGAUGAGGCACCAAGGUGGCAGAGCCAGUGCUGGGCAAGAGGCGGGAGCUGCAGUUGCUGAACCCGUGAGCUUGCUUGCCUGGGAGUGGCGACCUGGCCCUCAGGGGUUGCUUGUCUCUAGGGGACCCAGCCUGGGUACAUGUACCACCACCCGCUUCCAGCUCUGCUAUUUGCAGGUGAAGGAGAAAGCCACUGAGGCCUGGCCUCCAGGCCAGGCUCUGUCCCUGCUGGGAGCUGCCCUGGCCUCAGGUUCUUCCUGGAAGGGAGGACCAGGCAGCUGGGGGCAGCAGCAGAUCCAGCUAUGAAAGCCGUGACAAGAAGUUCCUUGAAGUGUGGUGGGCUGCAGUCAGCAUAUGUAGGAGACGACCCCAAUCCUGACCCUAAUCCUAAUUCUUGCUUUCCCCACCAGAUUUUAAUCCUUAUCCUGCCCAGGGAUUUUAAGGGCUAACCCAAAUCCUGACCCAAGGGGAAGGAUGGAAGGGGGAACAGCCUGCAGCCUCACCUCCACCCUCUAUCCUCCCAGGUCUACCUCCACCCCUCUCCUGGGUCUCUCCCUCUUGGCUUGGCCCCAUCCCACAGCCCCCACUGUCUUCCCCCCGCUCCCACUUUGGCAGGCCCCUCCAAGUGACCUCUCCCUUGCUCCCCAGCACACAGUAGGUGCUCAAUGAAGAACACCGCCUUUCCUUGACUCCAGUAGAUGUUGCACCCUCUCCAUCUUAGGAGAAAAUGUGCGUUGGCUGUCAAGACUACACUGACAGCAGUGGUCACUCAUUUGCAGACAGGGUGAAGUGUGGGGGAAAGCGCAGUAGUGACGCUGAACCCUACAUUUAUGUAGCAUUGAUGCUAGGCACCAGAACCCUCACAAUCCUAAUUCCGACGGGAGCUAGAGCCCCCCCACCCCACCGUGAGUGCAGCAAGGGAGCACCUCAACCCUGCCCUUGGAGGGCCACAGGUCAGCUUGCACCGUCUUCCCACCCAGCACCACUCUGGGUGCCUUUGCUGUCUCCCAAGAGCCCCUUGCCCUUGGAGUUCCCUCAUGAUGCCCCCCUGCCCCACGUGCAGGUGUCUGACCAUCCGGGAAGCAGGGUCGAGGAGCUCCCAGUUGAAGUCCAGUUGCUGAGACGCACCCUGUUUUGGUGUUGCUGGGGCAGGGGGCUGAUGGUGGUGCUGAACGGGUUUUAGAGGAGGGUCAGGGUGGCAGCGGAUCUGGGGCCCAGCAGCCUUGUUUCUGACCCCAGGCCUGCCACUUCCCAUUUAAGUGACCGUGAGUGGCAGAGGUCAAGGCUGGACUCCGGAAACGUGGGUCUGACACUCCUGAGGCCUCCCGGAUGGUCCCAGCCGAAAGGACCCAGUGUGGGUCCCUUGGGCCUGGGUUUCCCUGGCUCAGGUGCCCUCAAUCCCCAGGCACCCUCAGCUCAGGGCUCCCCACGACCUGGUGGGGGCACAGACCCCGGCGCCAUUUCAUGGGGUUCCCAGCUCCUGGCGCCCCCGUGCUCUUCUGUGAAAUGGGACAGCAAGUGCGCUGAUAGGAACGGUGCCUGGGCACAGGGCUGCGCCUGGACACCCUACGCCGUCGCAAGGUGCCUCCUGCUGUCGGAGUUUCCAGGCGCACACGGCGCGGCUGCCACUCCCUGAGGAGGAAAGUCGGGAACCGUCCCGCGGGGCCGGUCCCGCCGCUGCUCGUCCUCCUUCUCCACGUCCCCGCCCGGGGCUCCGCCGGCCCGACCCGCGGGGAACCUCCAGCCUCUGAGGACCUCACGCCGCUCGGAGACCCGCACAGCCCGGGUCAGGGCCGGGACUCCGGGCGGACGAGGUCCCCGUGGCGCCCGCACGCUCGCCCCACCCGCUCUUUUGGGCGCCGCGGCCAGGCGGGGGCAGAGUCCGCG